UGAGUCGGCGGCCGCGCGCCCCGGCAGGGGCUGGGUCUCGCGAGCGUGGAGAUCAACGGACGUUGGUCGCUUCUCGGGGUCCUUCCGACCUUCUGAACUGGGGGUGUCGGUUGGGGCGGGAGUGAGAGGUGUUGGUGAAAUCUACUUCCAGGGUGUCCCCUUCUGCCUUCGUUAUACGGGAGAAUUUCACUUGUGGCUUUUGUGAGAAUUGCUGAGGGUAUCAUUUCCAUAAACCCAACCUGCUCACCCAUAAGGAGCUGAGGACCAAGAAGAGGAGAGUUCUAAUUGUCCAAGAAACCCGUUCAGGGCCUGCUAGGACCUUUGUCUGUGGGGUGGCCACACAGCCUCUACUAAAUGUCCUCCCACCAGGGGAACUGCCCCUCCUCAUGUGGCCCAAGAAUCUCCUGGACUCCACUCCACUCCUGGGGAUUCGCCCUUCCUACCAGAGCACUGCCAGAUCAAAAGUUUCAACUUAAAGCCAAAGAGACCACUGCAAAGCAGAAUAAACUUUGGGAAAAACUUCUGUCAGGAAGAGGAUAUGGCGAAAGAGUGAUGGUUGAUGAUUGAGGAAAAAUGUCUGAUGUUUAAUGAUGGAUGUUGUGAACCAGUUAGCCAGAUACUCCAGUGUAUGAAGAGAAAUUGAGAUCAACGUCUUAAACUCAAAAGCUCCUCUGAAGUGGUCUGAGCAAGAGAUGGAAUAUUCUGGAAACUCUAUCAGAUUCACAGGAUGGCAGCCCUUGCUGUGAAUCAGAGGAAAGGAAACUCGAAGAGGCAAGGACGGUGGCUGGGUUACUGAUGGAUUCUUCUCAGGUAAGUAGAAAGUUGACCUUUCUUCAGAAUGUCCUGUUUCUCUCUGUGGUAGCCAUAUCUUCUUGUAAUGUCCCCAGGCUUUUUAUAGCAAUUAAUGGCCCUGCUUAAGGAAUGAGUCCCAGGUAAAUGUCUCCAGGACUCAUGCCAUCUCAGAAUACAUAGGGAUUGUAUUGGAUGUGAUUCUUUUAUCUCCGUAUUCGUUAAUUCUUUCUGAUGCUUGGUCAUGCUUGUUGGCUUACCGUUUCACUGAGUGUUAUGAUAGAUACUGAGGAAUGAUAUGAAGGUAUCUAAUCUCAUGGAAUGCAUGUGUUACUGUGGAAAUAAUUCAUCUCUUAGUAGAUUUUACAGAGUGUUACAGUGUGCUCAGUGCUAACCGCAGCCUAUAAAUAGAGGAGGAAAAUAAAGCAAGAAGAGCCCACAAUAAAGUUGUGGUAACAUAAGUUUCAUCACAUGUCAGACAUGCUGGUAAAUCCACAUGACUGGCUGUGAUCACCAGGCACGUCUAUAGCUGGAGAGCAGACGAGAUCUGGGCCCGAGAGUCCUGUAGGCUUCUGGUCUACCUUCCUCAGUCCUUCAUCUUUCUGAGAACCUCAAACAAGAUGGUAGUUUGCUGAAGGCAGCAUAUGUCUGAUGGUUUAGCACUUAGUGACCUUUGAGUAUCUAGCUGUGGACUUUACCCAGGAGGAGUGGACUUUGUUGGAUCAAACACAGGUUGCUCUCUACAGAGAUGUGAUGUUGGAGAACUACCAGAAUCUCAUCACACUAGAGACAGAGACAGAGCAUGAAUGGGGGAGGAGCAGAGAGAGGGAGACCCAGACUCCAAGGAAGACUCCAGGCUCUGAGCUGUCAGCACAGAGCCUGACACGGGGCUUGAACUCACAAACCGUGAGAUCAUGACCUGAGCCGAAGUUGGAUGCCUAAUCGACUGAGCCACCCAGGCACCCCAUGAAAACCUUAAGACUUGACUUUAUUUUAUUACUUUUUUUUCAGUUUUUAUUUUAAUUUCAUUAUAGUUAACAUACAGUGUUAGUUUCAGGUAUACAAUAUAGUGAUUCAGCAUUUCCGCAUAGUACCCCAUGCUCAUUACAACAAGUGUACUCCUUAAUCCCCAUCACCUAUUUAACCCAACCCUCCUACUCCCCUCCCCUCAGGUAAUCAUCAGUUUGUUCCCUAUAAUUAAGAGUCUGCUUCUUGAUUUGCCUCUGGUUUUUUCCCCCUUGUUUUUUUUUUUUUUUUUUUUUUUUUAAUU